CCUACGGGAGGCAGCAGUAGGGAAUCUUCCACAAUGGGCGAAAGCCUGAUGGAGCAACGCCGCGUGGGUGAAGAAGGUCUUCGGAUCGUAAAACCCUGUUGUUAGAGAAGAAAGUGCGUGAGAGUAACUGUUCACGUUUCGACGGUAUCUACCCAGAAAGCCACGGCUAACUACGUGCCAGCAGCCGCGGUAAUACGUAGGUGGCAAGCGUUAUCCGGAUUUAUUGGGCGUAAAGGGAACGCAGGCGGUCUUUUAAGUAUGAUGUGAAAGCCUUCGGCUUAACCGGAGUAGUGCAUUGGAAACUGGGAGACGUGAGUGCAGAAGAGGAGGGUGGAACUCGAUGUGUAGCGGUGAAAUGCGUAGAUAUAUGGAAGAACACCAGUGGCGAAAGCGGCUCUCUGGUCUGUAACUGACGCUGAGGUUCGAAAGCGUGGGUAGCAAACAGGAUUAGAUACCCUUGUAGUC
rnacentral:rRNA from 1 species